GUUCCCAUCUCGAACACAGUAGUUAAGCUCAUAAACGCCGAAAGUACUUGGCUGGAGACGGCCUGGGAGGAUAGGAAGCUGCUGAUU
rnacentral:rRNA from 1 species